CCUACGGGAGGCAGCAGUAGGGAAUAUUGCUCAAUGGGGGAAACCCUGAAGCAGCGACGCCGCGUGAGGGAUGAAGGUUUUCGGAUUGUAAACUCCUAUUAUUAGGGAAGAUAAUGACGGUAUCUGACUAAUAAGCACCGGCUAACUCCGUGCCAGCAGCCGCGGUAAUACGGAGGGGGCAAGCGUUACUCGGAAUCACUGGGCGUAAAGAGCGCGUAGGCGGGAUAGCAAGUCAGAUGUGAAAUACUAUGGCUUAACCCUAGGACUGCAUUUGAAACUGUUAAUCUAGAGUAUGGGAGAGGUAGGUGGAAUUCUUGGUGUAGGGGUAAAAUGCGUAGAGAUUAAGAGGAAUACUAAUUGCGAAGGCGACCUGCUAGAACAUAACUGACGCUGAUGCGCGAAAGCGUGGGGAGCAAACAGGAUUAGAUACCCCGGUAGUC
rnacentral:rRNA from 1 species